rnacentral:rRNA from 1 species
AGUGAACGCUGGCGGUAGGCCUAACACAUGCAAGUCGAACGGCAGCACAGUAAGAGCUUGCUCUUACGGGUGGCGAGUGGCGUAAGGGUGAGGAAUACAUCGGAAUCUACUUUUUCGUGGGGGAUAACGUAGGGAAACUUACGCUAAUACCGCAUACGACCUACGGGUGAAAGCAGGGGAUCUUCGGACCUUGCGCGAUUGAAUGAGCCGAUGUGGGAUUAGCUAGUUGGCGGGGUAAAGGCCCACCAAGGCGACGAUCCGUAGCUGGUCUGAGAGGAUGAUCAGCCCUACCGGAACUGAGACACGGUCCAGACUCCUACGGGAGGCAGCAGUGGGGAAUAUUGGACAACGGGGGCAAGCCUGAUCCAGCUAUCCCGCGUGGGUGAAGAAGGCCUUCGGGUGGUAAAGCCCUUUUGUUGGGGAAGAAAAGCAGCAGGUUAAUACCCCGCUGUUCUGACGGUACCCAAAGAAUAAGCACCGGCUAACUUCGUG